AAAAACAGAUUAUUCCUCAUAUUGCUAAUAACUAUAUCUAGGGAAAGUGAAAGAUGAUGUUAAUGUAAUAUUUCUGGUUUAAUUUUUCAUAUAUUAGAAAACCUUACUGUUGUUUGAAUGGCUCUCCUUUCGCUUUAUGAACAUCGAGGUUAGUGCAUAGUCUGGCAUCAUUAUACAUAAUUUUCAAAGGAAGGUCAAAUUUACAGAAACACAUAUUAGUUAUGUUACUGUUUCUUAGUUAUAAAGUAAAUAUAAACUAUUUAUUAUGAAAGAAAAUGAAAUUUCAUAUAAUAAAUUGUAUGUGUAUCGGUUUUCUGGACAUACAGUCAUCAGGACCGCUCAAAUAUACUAAAGGCGAAGAAAAAUAAGUUUUGAAAGGGG
rnacentral:lncRNA from 1 species